ACAUUGCCAAUUCUCAUUCCGUUUCCUCACAAAUUUCCCGGAAAAUCAGAGCACCGUCAUCACCCAGCAAGAUUUCUUUCUUUUUUUUUUUUUUCCUUUCCUUUUUUCCUAUCUCUGCUUCGUCUCAGCUUCCUUUGCUAUCAAUAAUGUAGUAACAAAUCCAUGCUCAACGAUUCCCAUCCUCUAUUUUCCUCGUUUCUUCCAUUUCAUUCAACGCUCCUGCGGCUACUGACGGAGGAUUUCAAUUUCUGUCUAUUCUCGUCUUCUACCUUCUAAGCUCCUAGUAAAGCUCAGUUGCGAAGUCCAAGUGCCAUUUGUGUUCAUCAAACCAUAUCUAUACCAAUUUCUGAGCUUCGUUCAGGAGCUUAGGUUACUAAAUUUGUCGAAAUUAAGCACUUUCACCGAGUGUUGGAAUCUGGGUUGCAGGUGAAAUAAUCAAUCCUACAAGAGCUAUACCUAUGUUCAUAAUCACGUUUGUUUCUGCAGCCUCCGCUGUAUUUAAAGAAUACCUAAUUUAUAUAGAAAGAUGUGGUCAUUCUGCUUUCAACUGAUAUGAAGACCGCACAGAGAGUUCAAGAUGCAAAAAAGGCCUUGGAUGAUACCGAAAAUGACCUACCAAACAACAACAAAACUGAGGCUCCUGUACCAGAUUCAGGUUCAAUAUCUGCCUCUAACAAUGAUGGCAAAAAAGUUUCUCACCAAGAUAUCGAGUUUGUCCAGAAUUUAAUAGAGCGGUGCCUACAGUUAUAUAUGAAUAGAGAUGAGGUGGUUAAGACCCUAUUGAAUCGUGCAAGGAUAGACCCGGGAUUUACUUCGCUAGUUUGGCAGAAGCUGGAAGAAGAGAAUGCUGAUUUUUUCAGAGCCUACUACAUAAGGUUAAAAUUGAAAAAACAAAUCCUUCUUUUCAACCAUUUGCUUGAACAUCAAUACCGUCUCAUGAACUAUUCCAUACCUCCCAAAGUUCCUUUAGCUCCAAUGCAGAAUGGGAUUCAUCCUAUGCCUGUUAACAACUUACCAAUGGGAUAUCCAGUCCUUCAGCAACCUCCAAUGUCAAUGCCAGGUCAACCCCAUCUGGAUACCAUGGCCUCUGGGAUGCCAAGCUGCCAUGUGGUUAAUGGAGUCCCUGCACCUAGUAACUUCCAUCCUAUUAGGAUGAACUCUGGGAACGAUAUGCUGAUGAACAGUGAGGCUGAUGUGGUUCCUGUUAUUCCACCGAACAGUACUAUGUCCUCCAUGUCAGAGAUGUCUAUGAGUCCUGCUUCGGUGGCAUCCAGUGGUCAUUUCUCAUUCACUGCUCCAGAAAUAUCCGGAAUUGGAGUAGAUACUUCCGCACUUGAUACUGCAUUUACAUCUGAAAUGGUAAGUUCAGUUGGUCUGCAACUUUCACAGGAUGGUGGAGCUGGAAAUUCUAGGGAUUCUCUCAGAUCAUUGGAUCAGUUUCAGUGGAAUUUUAGCCUGUCAGAUCUUACAACAGAUUUAUCGAACUUGGGAGAUUUAGGACCCUUAGGAAACUACCCUGGCUCUCCUUUUUUGCCCUCCGACUCAGAAAUAGGUAUGGGAAUUGCGAAGACUCUUUUCAGCUCUAAAUUGUUUAAUGUAACCAAAACCACCUUUUUCCAAAGCAAACAUAUGGCGAGUAUAUAUUUAUUUUGUUUUAUAAGAUGUCAUCAUGACAAGCAAUUUGGUGAAUGUUGAUCGCAUAGGUAAGUGCACCCUACAUUUGUUCGUUAAUCCUUUGUUCCUUCUAGUAUGACUCUUGAAACUCAGAAGUUCCUGGUCGUCCAUGCAAAGUUGGAUGCACAUAGAUAUAUAACUUAUCAUUUGGCCACUCACUAACAUCUUAAUUUUGUCUCAGUGGAGGAGUUCUUUGUUGAUUCAGUCCCUGGGCCGCCGGACGAAGAGAAAUCCUAGACAAAGGUGACAAAGGUUUUUUUUUAGCAACUUGAACAAGUAGGAUAGGAUAAGAUUUGUUCAGAAAUCAAGAGUUCAUUGUCUAUCAAUAAGUAGGCAUCCAGUAAUUUUGUCAUCGACAGAUUUGAAUCAUUUAAAUUUGUAGUCACAUAGCUUGCUUUGUAGGAAUGUAGAUAGGGAAGUAAGUCAUGUAGGGGCACUCUUGUGCUGCUCAUUUCAGAGAUCUCCGGUUGCUUGGAAGUUGAAGCUGCUGUGUUCAGUUCUUAAUCCUUUGUCUCGUCUGGAUUUAAAGGUGAAUCAGGACAGGAACAAAUAAUUGAGAAAAGUGGGCCAUUUCCUUUUCUUCUGCACUUAAAAUUCUUCUGAUAGGGUGGAGUUUAUUUAAACACAAAAAUGAAAUUACCCAUUCCAAAAGUAGCUUUUGAAAUGGGUUUUUCUCCAGCACCAAAGUUGAAAGAGUGCCUAAGAUGGCUCUGCUUGCACUUGCUGCAUUGCUGUCAUUUUGAAGAAUCAUUCACCUUAUCAAAUUGUAAAGGUUGCAAUUGUAACAACCCUUUUUAUCACUAUCAAAUAUUAUAUUGUGUGUGUGUGGUGAGAAAGAGAACACCUUUAUCUUUCUCUUUCUUCCUUUGUUUCUUGUGGGGUGUAGAGUAUAUAUGGGGAUCUUGAUCUUUUUA